rnacentral:sRNA from 1 species
AGAGAGAGAGAUAGCGGUGGGGUAGUAAAGGCAGAAAUGGCCCACUCUGAUCUGUCUUGGCCUUGGUUGGGGGACGGGCAACAGGUUUACAAUCCUAGGAUCCGAGCAGAAUUCCAAGUGUUGAGGCCAAUCAGCAAGUGUCAGGCAGAGGCAAGACGACUGCGAGCAAGAGGGUUCCCACCAGCUCUUUUUCCCCUCAGGAUCCUGCCUCUGCCUGUAUCCUAAGUCCUUCUUAGAACUAGAAGCUCCACCAUUGCCGCAACCCAGGGUGUGUGAGGAGAAUCUGAGCUCCCUGGUGUUACUACUAAAAAGGAGACAGAUUGCAGAGCCAGGGGAGUGUCACUUCCUGGACCAGCCUGCUCCAGAAGCAUUGAUGCAAGCCCUGGAAGAUUUAGACUAUCUGGCAGCCCUGGAUGAUGAUGGGGACCUGUCAGAUCUGGGUGUCAUACUAUCAGAAUUCCCUCUGGCCCCUGAGCUGGCCAAAGCCCUGCUGGCCUCAUGCGAGUUUGACUGUGUGGACGAGAUGCUCACCCUGGCUGCCAUGCUCACAGCUGCCCCUGGGUUUACCCGUCCUCCAAUCAGUGCAGAAGAAGCUGCCCUGCGUCGGGCCCUGGAACACACGGAUGGUGACCACAGUUCUCUGAUCCAGGUGUAUGAAGCCUUUAUACAAAGUGGAGCAGAUGAGGCUUGGUGCCAGGCUCGAGGUCUGAAUUGGGCAGCAUUGUGCCAAGCCCAUAAACUUCGGGGAGAACUCCUAGAACUCAUGCAACGAAUUGAACUUCCCUUGUCCCUACCAGCCUUUGGCUCUGAGCAGAAUCGCAGAGACCUUCAG